UAUAUAUAUAUACAAAUAUAUGAUAUAUUGAUUUUGGAAAUGAAAAGAAUACUUCUUCGUUAAAGUUAUGACUUUAAAACAUUAUAUGAAGAUAGAAUGUAUAUGGGAGACAUAAUCUAUAUACAUGGGAUGGAAAUCUAUAUUGAUAGAUUUUAGGAUAUAAUUGGAUUAUAUCAAGCCCUAAAUAUAGACAAAAGAUGAUAGGAAGUUUCUCAUAUGAUGAUGAACUUCAAUCAAAAGGACAACUCUAGUGAGACUAAGAAGUUGCUAUUCUCAAAGAGAACGUACUCUUUGACUCCCAAAGAAAUAAUGCGUAAAUAGAAUCCUUUAUGCAUACGCAGAAAGGUGAUUUAUGUAUUUCAUAUUGUAUGAAAAACAUUGAUAUGAGUUGUACCUAGAACGGUACAAGACGAUAUCAGUGCAAGCCCAGGAUCAGAACCACGGCAACUAUCAAGUGAGUCCUUAAAUAUUUAAGAAAUACUAAAGGAUAGAUUCCUCAAAGAAUGAGGAAGAAUUAGAGCAACGUAAUGGAAGCGUAAAUGUAUUAGAUUAUGAAUCUAAUCCAUCAUUGGAUAUUUCUUCAUUAUGAAUGAAGAGAUAAUCAUAUAUCUCUUUAUUAUGACUAAAGAGAUAUUUGGAUGGAAACAUUAAAAGUAAUGACUUUAGUGUGUUCCAUUAUGAAUGCAAAAUAUAUUGCCAUAUAGAAGCUUACAACAAUGUUGUUUGGAUGGGAAAGUUCAUUUAUGAACUCUCUAUUCGGUUCCAACCAGAAAGUGUCUCUAGUGUACCGACACUACGACACUAAUGGGGCAAUAGCUCAAGCCAGGGAAUCAAGGUCUCAUCACGAUCCGAACUCAAAUGAGAGACUGAACCACAUGAUUGAGAAUCAUGUAUAAUGGUGACGUCGUUAUUCUCAUGGUUGCUUCUAUGGAUAACAUAUAGAUAUCCAUUGUCUAGGCCUACUACUCAGCCAUUUAUGAAAUGACUACAGAAGAUGUAUCAUCACUGAUGACCAAGCUGAUUGGCUCUAGUGCAAGUGGGAGAUUGUUGGAAAUGUGCCCUAAAACCAAUCAUAUGAUGAUACUUUAUGGACAUUUCUCAUUUUAAACUAAUCUAGUUUAAUAUCAAGGGCAAAGAUUGUUGUUUAAGCCGUCUCAUAUAAAUGUUAUACGCUUAAACGAUAAGUCCAAGGAAUAUGUGAUUAGGAGAAUGCAAUCUAAAGAAGUUAGAUUCAUGAGACCAUUCUUUCGUAGACACAUCCUAACGUUCCUGAUCAUAGGAUUGCCAAUUGGGCAUUGACAGUCCGUUAAGAUCAAUACGUGUUGUGUCUUCUCUCAGGGAGAGUGACUAGUCUCGAGUCAUUGGUGUGUGUGACAUCAAGACAAGCAUGUAGGUGCUCAAUAAUGAAUGAGUCCACUGAACACUAUCAACGAGGAGUUAUCAUACUCAUGUCACAUGAGAACUCAUGGUUGGGAUAAUGCAAAGUAAUCCUUUGAGCUGAGGCAUCAUAGUUGUCUUGUGGUUAAGUCCUUGAUCUUUGAUUAUGUCAAAGUCACUCCAUCAGGAGGGUGUCCACGGCAUCGUCGGGGUUAAACCAUUUAGUCAUGGAGGCAAGUGAAUGCGCAACAAGGGAUCUUUAACCUUCAAACCGUUUGGGGGAGAAUACUCUAUGAUAUGAUUAAGAAUCUCUGGCCAGAGUAUGAAUGAGAUUUAGGAAGUCGUUCCAAAUCACAUUGAAGGUAAUCAUAUAAGCACACGAAUCACAUUGGAUAGUAGACAUGAAUAAACUAUCAA
rnacentral:lncRNA from 1 species